rnacentral:rRNA from 1 species
UGGUAAUGCCGGAUGCUCCAGUUGAUCGCAUGGUCUUCUGGGAAAGCUUUCGCGGUAUGGGAUGGGGUCGCGUCCUAUCAGCUUGACGGCGGGGUAACGGCCCACCGUGGCUUCGACGGGUAGCCGGCCUGAGAGGGCGACCGGCCACAUUGGGACUGAGAUACGGCCCAGACUCCUACGGGAGGCAGCAGUGGGGAAUAUUGCACAAUGGGCGCAAGCCUGAUGCAGCGACGCCGCGUGAGGGAUGGAGGCCUUCGGGUUGUAAACCUCUUUUAUCGGGGAGCAAGCGAGAGUGAGUUUACCCGUUGAAUAAGCACCGGCUAACUACGUGCCAGCAGCCGCGGUAAUACGUAGGGUGCAAGCGUUAUCCGGAAUUAUUGGGCGUAAAGGGCUCGUAGGCGGUUCGUCGCGUCCGGUGUGAAAGUCCAUCGCUUAACGGUGGAUCCGCGCCGGGUACGGGCGGGCUUGAGUGCGGUAGGGGAGACUGGAAUUCCCGGUGUAACGGUGGAAUGUGUAGAUAUCGGAAAAAAAACACC